rnacentral:rRNA from 1 species
GGGCGGCGCGCUUAACACAUGCAAGUCGAACGGUUAAAGCACCUUCGGGUGUGUAUAAAGUGGCGAACGGCUGAGUAACACGUGGGCAACCUGCCCCUCGCACCGGGAUAGCCGUCGGGAAACCGUGGGUAAUACCGGAUACUCCCGCCCACCCCGCAGUGGGGAGGGCGGGAAAGCGUACACGGCGGGGGAUGGGCCCGCGGCCUGUUAGCUCGUUGGCGGGGUAACGGCCCACCAAGGCGACUAUGGGUAGCCGGGUUGAGAGACCGACCGGCCAGAUUGGGACUGAGACACGGCCCAGACUCCUACGGGAGGCAGCAGUGGGGAAUCUUGCACAAUGGGCGAAAGCCUGAUGCAGCGACGCCGCGUGCGGGAAGAAGGCCCUCGGGUUGUAAACCGCUUUCAGCAGGGACGAGGCGCGAGUGACGGUACCUGCAGAAGAAGCCCCGGCUAACUACGUGCCAGCCGCCGC